CGCUCUUAGUUCAGUUCGGUAGAACGCGGGUCUCCAAAACCCGAUGUCGUAGGUUCAAGUCCUACAGAGCGUG
rnacentral:tRNA from 2 species